rnacentral:rRNA from 7 species
GCGAACGCUGGCGGCAGGCUUAACACAUGCAAGUCGAGCGGGCCCUUCGGGGUCAGCGGCGGACGGGUGAGUAACGCGUGGGAACGUGCCUUCUGGUCUGGAAUAACCCUGGGAAACUAGGGCUAAUACCGGAUACGCCCUUUUGGGGAAAGGUUUACUGCCGGAAGAUCGGCCCGCGUCUGAUUAGCUAGUUGGUGGGGUAACGGCCUACCAAGGCGACGAUCAGUAGCUG